CUGGGCCAUAACUGACGCUGAGAAGCGAAAGCAUGGGGAGCGAACAGGAUUAGAUACCCUGGUAGUCCAUGCCGUAAACGUUGGGCGCUAGGUGUGGGACUCAUUCCCACGAGUUUCCGUUCCCGCCAGCGUAACGCAAUUAAGUCGUCCCCGCCGUGGGGAGUACGGCCGUCAAGGCUAAAACUCAAAGGAAUUGACGGGGCCCGCACAAGCGGCGG
rnacentral:rRNA from 1 species